rnacentral:lncRNA from 1 species
AGAGGGAGGUGUGGCGGCAGACGGUGGAGGGCCAACCUCGCGGUCAGUGGCGGCUAGGAUCACCGGUGCUGAUUUGCUCCUUCAUCUUCUGUUGUGCGUUUGCUCACUGUGUUUGUUCCUAGGUGAGCCUCUCUCUUUUUCCCAUGCUCUUGACCUGCUCGAUAAAAUGCUUGUGUGGCUGCAAGCUAUUUUCUACCUUGGGUUAGAUUCCUUUUGGUUUCUUGACAAACAUGUGAACUUCUCCUGAGUGAAAAAAAUGAAGGUGAAGAGGAGAGGAGGAAUCGCUUCAUAUGUUUAGGCAACACGAGAUUUCUAAAGUUAGUUUACAACUUGUUAGCCAAUUUUGGUUGUCUUGCAAAGUAAAAAAAAUUCAAGUAAAUAGUUUGCUUAUUCGGUAAGUAAAUCGGUGUUCUGUUCGUCAGGUCCAUCUAAUCACUUCCUCGUGCAUCCAGGUCGGCACCGUUGUUGUCACCGGGCAGAAUGGCCAUGGGCAGGCUCAGGAAUGAAUGUUCUAGGGUUGGAGCCGAGGGGGUUGAGCAGCAGCUGAGCUUAGGUGAGUGCUCGGGUUCUAUAAUUGACUCUUCUAUGGGAACAAUGUGAUCACCUUCACCAAGAUCUUGGUGAAUGUACGGAGCUAAUGUUCAGUUCAUUGUCUCAGGCAUGAAUUUACAGAUUCAAGAUUUUCUUACACAUGGGGCUUUGCAAGUUCAUUGUCUCACACAUCCUUUAUGUUGC